rnacentral:rRNA from 1 species
CGUGCCGUGAGGUGUUGGGUUAAGUCCCGCAACGAGCGCAACCCCUGCGGCCAGUUAGAGUAUCACUGGCCGGACCGCCGGCUUGCUGCCGGAGGAAGGCGGGGAUGACGUCAAGUCCGCAUGGCCCUUACGACUUGGGCGACACGCACGCUACAAUGGCCGGCACAAUGGGCGGCGAAACCGCGAGGUGGAGCUAAUCCCCAAAGUCGGCCUCAGCUCGGAUCGGGGGCUGCAACUCGCCCCCGUGAAGUCGGAGUUGCUAGUAACCGCAGGUCAGCCAUACUGCGGUGAAUCUGUUCCCGGGCCUU